rnacentral:rRNA from 1 species
UGGGGAAUAUUGGACAAUGGGGGCAACCCUGAUCCAGCCAUGCCGCGUGGGGGAUGAAGGCCCUAGGGUCGUAAACCCCUUUCAGCAGGGACGAAAAUGACGGUACCUGCAGAAGAAGGCCCGGCCAACUACGUGCCAGCAGCCGCGGUAAGACGUAGGGGCCAAGCGUUGUCCGGAAUUAUUGGGCGUAAAGAGCUCGUAGGCGGUUGCGUAAGUCGGAUGUGAAAACUCGGGGCUCAACCCCGAGACGCCAUCCGAUACUGCGCUGACUUGAAUCCAGUAGGGGAGUGUGGAAUUCCUGGUGUAGCGGUGAAAUGCGCAGAUAUCAGGAGGAACACCUAUGGCGAAGGCAGCACUCUGGGCUGGUAUUGACGCUGAGGAGCGAAAGCAUGGGUAGCAAACAGGAUUAGAUACCCCUGUAGUCC